rnacentral:lncRNA from 10 species
AAAAAUUAUUCAAGUAAAAACUGUACAGAUAUUUCAUACAUUUCCAAAAUUUACCUUGAGACACUCUGGUUAAAAAAAAAAUAGUAGAGGUGUCUUAAUUUUCCCAAAUCAGCCAGGCGUGAGCCACCGCGCCCAGCCAAAACGUUUAUUUUCUAAUUUACAGUCAGGGGAAAGAAGUUUUAUUUUGUUUUGCUUUUUCCCUUGAGGAACUGAAUGUUUUCUCCUUUCUGAUUUUAAAGUAAACUAACUUACUGUGUUUCUCUUUUUGCCCUCAAAUUUGCUACCCAGUUAGUCCCUGCAGCUCUGUUAUUCUUCAUAAUCAGCAUGCCUGCUUUUCCCGCCUCUGAUUUUCUGGUUCUACUGUCUUAGCCUUCAUGUCUGUGUUACCUUUUCUGGAACCUGCUUCAAAUCCUUUCUGAAGGGGGAAGCCUCUGAAUAAAUGAGUGACUGACUUCCACCU